AAAUUGGUAACAAUAAUUAAAACUUUAAUUGUAAUUAAUGAAUAUUUUAGAAAGAGUUUUUCUUUUCUUUUUAAUAAAUUUUUAUUAAUAUUGAAUUUCUUUGGAGAUUUGAUAUAAAAUUAAAUGGAAUAAUAUUAUAUUGAGAUAUUUAAUACUAUUUAGAAGAAUUAAAAUAAAUUUGAUUUGUAUUGUUUUAAUCUAAAUUAUAUUCAAUAAUCCUUGAAAAUUAAAGUGAUUGAUGUUAACAUAUGAAGUUUAAAAUGGUCGUACUCAUCACCGCAUCAGGUCUCUAAGGUGAAAAGCCUCUAGUUGAUUAGAAAUAAUGCAGGUAAGGAAAGUCGGCAAAUUAGAUCCGUAACUUCGGGAAAUGGAUUGGCUCAUAAAAUUAUAAAAUAAUAAAAUAAUUUUUUUAUUUUGUUAUUUAAAUUUAAUUAAUGAACUGAUACGAUCAUGGGGAAGUCCGACUGUUUAA
rnacentral:rRNA from 1 species